rnacentral:rRNA from 1 species
AAAUCCCGCUGGUUAAUACCUGGCGGGGAUGACAGUACCGGAAGAAUAAGCACCGGCUAACUACGUGCCAGCAGCCGCGGUAAUACGUAGGGUGCAAGCGUUAAUCGGAAUUACUGGGCGUAAAGCGUGCGCAGGCGGUUGUGCAAGUCUGAUGUGAAAGCCCCGGGCUCAACCUGGGAACGGCAUUGGAGACUGCACGACUAGAGUGCGUCAGAGGGGGGUAGAAUUCCGCGUGUAGCAGUGAAAUGCGUAGAGAUGCGGAGGAAUACCGAUGGCGAAGGCAGCCCCCUGGGAUGACACUGACGCUCAUGCACGAAAGCGUGGGGAGCAAACAGGAUUAGAUACCCUGGUAGUCCACGCCCUAAACGAUGUCAACUAGCUGUUGGGGGUUUGAAUCCUUGGUAGCGUAGCUAACGCGUGAAGUUGACCGCCUGGGGAGUACGGCCGCAAGGUUAAAACUCAAAGUAAUUGACGG